CCUACAGGCGGCAGCAGUAGGGAAUUUUCGUCAAUGGGCGCAAGCCUGAACGAGCGAUGCCGCGUGAGUGAAGACGGCCUUCUGGUCGUAAAGCUCUGUUGCGGGGGAAAAAAAGCAGCAUCCGGAAAUGGUUGCUGACUGAUGGUGCCCCGCCAGAUAGUCACGGCUCACUACGUGCCAGCCGCCGCUGUAAUACGUAGGUGGCGAGCGUUAUCCGGAAUGAUUGGGCGUAAAGGGUGCGCAGGCGGUCCUGCAAGUCUGGAGUGAAACGGAUGAGCUCAACUCAUGCAUGGCGUUGGAAACUGGAGGACUGGAGAGCAGGAGAGGGCGGUGGAACGCCAGGUGUAGCGGUAAAAUGCGUAGAUAUAUGGAAGAACACCAGUGGCGAAGGCGGCCGACUGGCCUGUUGCUGACGCUGAGGCACGAAAGCGUGGGGAGCAAAUAGGAUUAGAUACCCUUGUAGUC
rnacentral:rRNA from 1 species